CUUGACAUCCAGAGAACUUGGCAGAGAUGCCUCGGUGCCUUCGGGAACUCUGAGACAGGUGCUGCAUGGCUGCCGUCAGCUCGUGUUGUGAAAUGUUGGUUAAGUCCGCAACGAGCGCAACCCCUAUCCUUUGUUGCCAGCGAUUCGGUCGGGAACUCAAAGGAGACUGCCGGUGAUAAACCGGAGGAAGGUGGGGAUGACGUCAAGUCAUCAUGGCCCUUACGAGUAGGGCUACACACGUGCUACAAUGGCGUAUACAAAGAGAAGCGACCUCGCGAGAGCAAGCGGACCUCAUAAAGUACGUCGUAGUCCGGAUUGGAGUCUGCAACUCGACUCCAUGAAGUCGGAAUCGCUAGUAAUCGUAGAUCAGAAUGCUACGGUGAAUACGUUCCCGGGCCUUGUACACACCGCCCGUCGCACCAUGGGAGUGGGUUGCAAAAGAAGUAGAUAGCUUAACCUUCGGGAGGGCGUUUACCACUUUGUGAUUCAUGACUGGGGUGAAGUCGUAACAAGGUAAGCGUAGCGAG
rnacentral:rRNA from 1 species